rnacentral:tRNA from 1 species
GGAUGUGGCUCAGUGGUAGAGUGCUCACCUAGCAUGCAUGAGCCCUGGGUUCAAUCCCCAGCAUCACA